UGAAAGCCUAUGAUCACUUGUGACUAACUAACCCAUUUAAAUAGCACUUGUUGAAUUUAUAAAAAACAAAAGCAGAUAUAUUUAGCUCGCAGCUGCGGCGUACAAACAUUUCAUAUAUUUCUCUCAACAUUACCUCUCGAAAUUAGCGAGUGUGCCAUAAUUAAAUUUACUUUCGACCCUUCGCAAUGUGCUAGUAAAACAAAACAGAAACAAAACUACAGGCAAAAACACCGCAGCCUUGGUGGUACAAAACAAUAUAGGAACCUAUUAUUUUGACCGCAGCUGUGUGACUGCUGGAGCAUAAAUAUGGCAGAAUGUCGGUGCUGACAGGUCAAGGUCCUCGUAAUGCAUCCAAUUUGGGCAUGGCCUGGAAUGGGAACUGGAUGAUGUCGAUGUGGAAGUGGAAUGAACUCGCCCCAAUCGGUUUUUGUUUUCGAAUCGCAUAUAAUUGGAUUAAAGAGCGAACGGGUGAGAGCAGGAGAAUUGCAUUUAAUUAGACAGGUAAUCGCCAUCGUUCACCAUUUGUUUACAAUUAAAUCGAAAGACCGCUCCCAGACAAGGAAAUCGGCUGUGCGAGCGGGACAGCUGGGCAAGCCCCGAUUCUGUGUUUUUUCUCGAAUCUCAGAAGUUUUGAACACACACAUGGAAACUUCUUCAUGGGCAGUUAGUCAUGGAGGGAACAACAGAGCAAUA